rnacentral:rRNA from 1 species
UACGGAGGGGGCUAGCGUUAUUCGGAAUUAUUGGGCGUAAAGGGCGUGUAGGCGGCUUCGUGUGUCCCAUGUGAAAGCCCCCGGCUCAACCGGGGAGGGUGGCUGGAAACUGGCGUUCUUGAGGGCGAGAGAGGAGGGUGGAAUUCCUGGUGUAGCGGUGAAAUGCGUAGAGAUCAGGAGGAACACCCGGGGCGAAGGCGGCCCUCUGGCUCGACCCUGACGCUGAGGCGCGAAAGCGUGGGGAGCGAACGGG